rnacentral:hammerhead_ribozyme from 1 species
GUACUGCCAAGGAGUCUCAAAACAGGACGAAACAGCUGUCCAGUAC